rnacentral:rRNA from 1 species
UACAGAGGUCUCAAGCGUUGUUCGGAUUCAUUGGGCGUAAAGGGUGCGUAGGCGGUGAGGUAAGUUGGAUGUGAAAUCCCGGGGCUCAACCCCGGAACUGCAUUCAAUACUGCUUUGCUAGAGUACUGGAGAGGAGAUUGGAAUUCCCGGUGUAGCGGUGAAAUGCGCAGAUAUCGGGAAGAACACCCGUGGCGAAGGCGGCUCUCUGGGACGGUACUGACGCUGAGACGCGAAAGCGUGGGGAGCGAACAGG